AAGACGUGAUCCCAACAGUCACGCUUUGUUACCCUAAUUUUUCAUCUCUGCUCCCAAAUUUGCCCUCAUUCAAUGAGGUUUCACUCAAUUCUUACGUAUCUUGGAGUGAUUCAGUUGAUGAUUCACUGAAUAUUUAUGUUUCAAUCGAUUGCAAUUGAUUAGCCCUUGAGUAACUGAAGAUUAAUGAUUCAAUUGAUGAGAGCAUUGAAUCGGCGUUGCUUCCCCUCCCUGUUUGGUGAAAUCCUUCAAUUCAAUGCCAAUGGAAGUGAAUCGUAACCCUAACCCUCUGAUUGACCAUCGUGAUAUAUCCUUUCGCCAAUGGAAGUCAGAUGAAAACUUUUCUGGCUGUCUACAGGUACAACGAACAUUACGCUGAACUUUGGAUGGACGUCAACCACGAGAAAGAGUGUGGGCAGUGACCAAAGGUAUUCGUUUAGGGUUUCCCAAGGAGGAAGAAAGUGGCAUGUUCUUGUUCGGUUCUUGUCCGUGACGCCAUUGCUCGAAUCCAAGAGGCGUUCUGACCAGCUGCGUCCGACAUGGCCCAGAAUUCGACAACCGGGAACAAAGCUACAGAUGAAAAUCAUUUUCGGCCAAAGGUUUAUGCCAGACUCGAAGUUGAUUUCAAUUAGAGGAGAGCAAGGUCAAGGAGGUUAAAGGAGAGGUGACCCCUAAGCAUACUAAACUGUUACACUUUGAGGAAUAAGGCA